rnacentral:lncRNA from 10 species
ACUUCCGGGGCCCGCGUCCCCCGGCGGCUUCGCCGAGAAGGGGCUUUGGGAGCUUAAGGGCGCCGGCACGCGUUCCCCUGGCGCAGAGCUCGCUAGCCGGGGCGCGGGCUGCCUCCUUGUUCUGGUGUGAUCCGAAUGUAACGGAGCGGACUUUGGGAUCCAGAACCCCGGACUGAGGUUGUGCUUGGCUUGAGGGGCGGGCUGGUAGGUCAGCCCCCUUGGGGCGUCGUUGGUCCUCUCCAGGCGUGUCACAUUCUGCCCGCACAUGGUGCCUUGGUACUCCCCAAAAGUCAUGCCUUGAUUUUUCUUACUAAUAAUAGUUUACACUGUUUUACCGCUUCACUGCUUCACGUAAGUAAAGUAAUUAUUUCAAAAGGAAAUGUUGGUCAUUUAUAAAAUGGUGGUAAAGAUGGUACAGCGGAUUAAUGUGAGGAUUAAAUGAGAUGAUACAUGAAAGUGCUUAAAACAGUACAGGGUACUUACCGUUAUUAUUGUUAAGUAGAAAGUGAGUUCUGGGAAACAGUGGGUGUAUGGUCCUUCACAGCAGGUUUUGGAAACGUCUGAUUUCCAGCCUACCCUCCUUCCUCCUGUUGCCGUCUGUUGCCUGAUUGUUCUCACUGGCUGAAAGGAGAUAAUCCCUGCCACUCCAUUCAUCACUGAAAAUUCUUGUCAGUUUGGUUGCUUAGGUACCUACUAAGAGUUGCCAGCAGGUGGCCCCAGAGCACGCGGUUAUGUUUGUCUUUUUGGGUCCCAUGUUUAAUUAGUAAUUUAGUAGGGACGUAUUGAAUACUUAUUCCACACUAUGGUACACUGUACCAGGGGAUAUAGGGAUGCCUGAGGGUGUGGGAGGCCGACCCUGGUCUCAGGGAGAAUAUAAAUGAUUUAUUAUUCUGGUCUUUCACAAGAUUUUGGCCUUUUUAAAGAUCGAUUCAUGUAUUCAUUCAACAAAUAUUUAUUGGAUGUUUACUCUGUUCCAGUUUCCACUCAGAGAUGUGAAGUAUAUCAAUGAAUAGAAUAGACAAAGAUCUUUGCCUUCAUAGAGAUCACAUUCUAGCACACAACAAUAAAGAUAAUAAAUUAUGUAAAAUGUUAGAAGUGUUAUGAAAAAGAAAAAAUGUAGACCAGUGUUUGUGUGUGUGGGUAGGGUUGGUGGGAUGGGCAGGUUGCAGUAUGAAAUAGAGUGGUUAGUAUUAAAUAGGCUUCAUUAGGAAGGCAAGAUUGAGCAAAGAUUCAAAAGAUGUGAGGAAAUUAGUCAGAUCUGGCGGGAAGUGUGUUCUAGAUAUGAAAAAAUUGGAGUUAUUACAUUUACUCCUUUAAAGAUGAGGUAAUUGAGGUUCAGAUAAGUAAAGUAACUUGUUUAGGGUCUCAUAAGAGGUUUCUAACAAAACUGGUCUGGUUUCAUGUCCUCAUUUCCAGUCGUGUUCAUUCACCAGAUCACAUUACCACUUGGUGUUUUUAGGGUGAUGGAGACUUCACAAUACAUAACUUGCUUAAAUCAUGACUAAGGUUAUCUUGGCAUACUUCCCAUCAUUGGGUAAUACCAAAUUCUCUGUGAUCUUUCUUUUUUUACAUAAUCAGUAAAUAUUUAUUUUGCUAACUGGUGUGGAGGAUAGAAAUGAGGCAUAAAGCCUGUCUCCUGCCCGUAAGGGACAAAUAAUCUAUACAUAACCAUUUUGGCCUUCAUCUCUUUUUCAUCUACUUUCCCCAUUUCCCCCAAGACAAGCCCACUGAUAAUCUGUACCUACAGCUUAGAAUUAGGUCAGGUCCUUAAACUUGGUCACCCAUUCUUGGUUUGUAGGUUCCAGAAUUUCACUGGAUUCCUUUUGCUGACAGUUGUUGUGCCUCUGGUUAUCCCCCAAGUCUCUACUCCCUUUAUCCUGUGUUGAACUUGUCUAUGAGACUGAGCUUAUGCUAUGCUUUUCACUCCUCAAUUAGAUAUCCCAUCUGGAUCCUUAGUUCCCCUCUAGAACUGCCUCCUUGUCUCUUGUAGUCUCAGUUGUUGAUCUUUCCACUUGAGUGGAGACUUUGCAUUGCUCCUAUUUGGGAGUUGUGCCCCUUGUUCGCUGUGCUUGCUCCCCUUGAGCUGCCUCUCUGAGCCUGAGUCAGUUCUCUUCACCUCUGGCCCAGGGAACUCUGGACAUGUGCCACACCCCUUUCCCUUCAUGCCUACACUUGCUGGGAGGAUAUUGUGGUGCCUUGUGUUAAAAGUCCUGGGUUAUGGCAUAUGUGAAACAGCCGCGAAGGACAGAAGACUAUUUUUACGUAAUUAAUUGCCUGGGAACUAGUUGUUUAAAGGAGAAGGGUGUUCGGUAAGCCUGAGUGGGUAAGAAUGAGGAAGGUGGAACUUGAGCCUGGUCUUGAGGGAUGGGUAGAAUUAACAGGUGUAGGGGAGAGAACAGGGUUGGGGGUGAACUUGUUAUGUUGUGAGCCAGUAAGGAGAUUAGCCUAAGUGGAAUGGAGAAGAUGUGUUUGGGAGUGGUGGUGGGAAGAGGAUAGAUAGGCAGGGCUGGAUUGGAGCAGAGCCUGGAGCAUCAGCUUGAGAAGUUUGCAUUACAACAUCAUAAAUUAUUUUUAAAUAUUUUAUGGUUCUUGGGAAGCUGGCAUGAAGGCACAAUGACAAUGUGUCAUUAAGAUCUGUAUAUCUACCUGCCUAUCUUUGAUCAUCUCAAAUUUGCUUUGUCCCUGAAUGCCCCAUAUGAAAGAGGUUCCCUUGGUUAUUUUUUCACAGCAUUGUGUUCCUUACUUAUUUACUUUUUCAGUUUUUUCUAGUGUGCCCUAGAAUGAAUGUUGCCAGGAGGCAAGGACUUGUUCUGCCUCCUUGUUGAAUGCCCAGAAUGUACAACAGUUUCAGAUACACAUUCAAUGCUUUAAAAAUAUUUGUUGAAUGAAUGAAUGCCCUGAGCUAAGUUUAUUUCUUUAAACCUGAUCUAUUCUACCUUCUGAAUUCUUGAAUUCUGUUAGUGCUAACACCAUCCAUUUGGUCUGCUAAGUUGGAUACUUGGAGUCAAUUUUGAUGAAGACAUGAGUACAGGUCUUGACCAUUCUUAAACUUUACAUGAGGAUUGUAUUCCCACUGAAGCCUUGUUUUUUACUCCAUUAUGCCAAGUUAACACAAUGUAACGUGUUGCAUUUUCAAUAUGAAGACAGAAAACAUCAAACAUGAACAGUGAGGCUAAAGGAAUGAGAAGUUAUUGGGAGCCAGGGCCAUGGGCAAAUUGUAAACUGUGUGUAUCUAAAUGUAACCAUCAUAUUAUCUGUUCUGUCCUCUUCCAAGGGGAAGAAUCAUGUAAUGGUUAAGAACAUGGUCCCUGGAGUUAGGCUGCCUGGGCUCAAAUUCUGGCUCAGCCACUUACUAGCAGUGUACCCUUGGGAAAGCUGCUUAACUUCUCUGUUUCUCAGUUUUCUCAUCUAUAAUAUAUGGGUAAGAAUAAUACUUACAGAGUUAUUGUGAGGAUUAAUAUGUGGGAAGUUCUUAGAGCAGUGCUAGCAUAUAGUAAAUGCUCAUCAAAUGUUAUUAUUAGCUAUAUUAGCUAUUAUUAGCUGUUAAUAUUUAGUGGGCCAUUGAAACAACAUAGGCUCUAUUGCCAUUUGGGCUGCUGAUCUGAAACAGGUGGCCAGACUUCAUUGAGGGAUGACCUUUGCAAGGUGUGAUUGAGGGUAUGGGAUUGAAGGAAAUUUGGGAUUUUUUGAGUGAGGACUGAGUUCCUGCAGGAGAUAUAGUCACCCCAAAGGGAGUUACCAGGUCCAGAUGGAAUUAUUUCCAGUGGAAUGUGCACACAAAUUCUUUGACACAAGUAAGGAAGUAUUACUACUUAGUUAUCUAUAUGUGAAUCUGCACAGAAAACUGAAAGAACUCUGUUGCUACCUUGCUUUUGCUUUUUUGAGGGAGAAGACAAUCAAGUGUGAAGCCAGGCAAACCUUUGAACAUUGUUAUUAAGGCAGAAAAAGCCUUCUUCCUCUACUUUCCCAUCCUCUCCUUCCUCACUGUCUGUUUCUCCCUCUCUGUAAACACAAUGGGACAUUUCAUUUCAAGAGUGUGUCUUGUUGAGGUGGGGCAGAAGGGUUUGGUGGUUUUAUCAGACUGUUUAACCAUAAAACGUUUUUCAUCCCUGUGUUCCUGUGCCCCACCAUUUCAGGCACUUGGUAUUUUUACUGCCUCACCCCCAUCAACAGAGAAAAGGUGGAUUUGAUGUCAUUUAUUAUAUACUUUAAAGUAAUUUUAUUUUGCUGAAUUUGUAAAUACAUGCAAAUGAAAUAUUUUAGAGCUACAAAAACAACCAUGGCCAGAUAUGUAUGAACGAGGUCUUUCCCAGUCCCCCUCUGGGUUUUGCACAGAUUUAUUCUGAGGGUCCCUUAGUCCAAACUGGGGGAUCCGCAGACAAAGAGAUCAAUAUUUUUCUCUUCUAAAUUCAAAAGGCAAGGUGCAGGUAUGAGACAUUAAAGUUUGAAAGAAGACGCUACUGGGAACAUUUUUUUCCUUCUACUCCACCCCUAUCCAGAAUAGAAAAAAGACCAUCUAAACAAGAGUGGAGAGGAGUUUGGAGAAAAAGUAGAGUAGGUUGUAGUGUAUGGGCUGGGCCUGUGCUCUUCCCUUGCCCCAGACUGAGUGUGAGGAGUGGUGAAUAAGAACACCACAAACCUGUCUGUACGUAUGGGAAUCCCAGAGCUGAGAGGACACGUGUCUCCUUUUCUUAGUGUCACCAAGAUGACUGCAAACCCUGUAGAGAGGCCCUUCAGUGCUGUGGAGUGGAAAACUUGGUUUCACAUGUUUGGCCUUGCUUGUUGGAGAAAUUCAGACCCCUGAGUUUCUCUUAGCCCUAAAAUGGCAUGAGAGGACAUCUGAAAUUAUCAAUUAUUCUUGUUCCCUUCUUAGAUUCUUGCUUGUCUUCCUUUUCAUCAUUCUGAUCUAUCUUUAAGAGAGGUCACUUUUCAAAUUCUAUCUUUAAGAGGUUUUAGGUCUCAAUAUAUUGGGUUUUCCCUUCAAUAUGGGUCCAUUUUGGACUCUAAACCUCAAGUUUCCUUUUAUGUGGUUCCCUCUUUACAUUUAUUCCUUGAUACUUUCCCAGACCUGUUUCCAGAACCAAAACCAUCUCUUCAUUUAAAAUAUUCUGAAAUUUCUUUAUCUACUCCCUUAAGUCAUUUCACUCUUUCUGAGCCAAUUUGAUUUUCCAAGAUUUUACUGAUUGGCCCUUAGCUUUGUGAUAAUGUCCUUCAGCAUUCCUUCCUCUUUGGUGCAGUUGGCAGUUUCAUGUCCAAUAUAUUAGGGCCCCAGUCAUCACUGCCAUUCUUUUCUUUUCUCUUCUCUUCUCUUUUCCCUUUCUUUUCCUUUCCUUGCCCUGCCCUCCCCCAUCCCCCCUCCUCACCC